rnacentral:rRNA from 1 species
UACGUAGGGUGCAAGCGUUAAUCGGAAUUACUGGGCGUAAAGCGUGCGCAGGCGGUUUUUCAAGGCAGAUGUGAAAUCCCCGGGCUUAACCUGGGAAUGGCAUUUGUGACUGGAAGGCUAGAGUGUGUCAGAGGGGGGUAGAAUUCCACGUGUAGCAGUGAAAUGCGUAGAGAUGUGGAGGAAUACCGAUGGCGAAGGCAGCCCCCUGGGAUAACACUGACGCUCAUGCACGAAAGCGUGGGGAGCAAACAGG